rnacentral:lncRNA from 1 species
AACAGAGUCUCUGCUCUGCAAUUUGCUCUCCGCAAAUUAGGCUUGAUCAAGUUACCUAAAUUUACUAAACCCAAGCCCCAGUAGAUCAUCUGUGAAAUAGAGAUAAUAGCAUCUACUUCUCAUAGCUGACAUGAAGAUUAGAGGCACUUACUUUUAUAAAGUGCUUAGCACAAUGACUGGAAAAGAGCAAAUGCCCAAUAAAUAGUAGUUAUUAUUCCAUUACUGCUACUGCUGCUAUUACCACCAUUACCAUUCCUACUAUUGCAGUUGUUUUUGCCUUUAGUUAAGACACUUUUUGAAAUUCUCAGUGAUAUCUUUUCCUGAGAGCGUGCUUGAUUAUUAAAAACAACUGAAAAAUAUGUUGAUUCAAUUCUUUUAAAAGGAGUGAUUAAAUUUUUGAUACUAUUCUGGUCAUUUGAUUAUAAAACAAUGUUCAGGUCAUUGACUUUGAAAAUAUGUUCAAGGAUGAGUUGAAAAGUGUUUGGAGGAAUAUCAGCAUCAUAAAGUAGGUUUAGGAUGACUGUGUAAUUAACUAUCCAAUAACUUUUACAGUGAAAAAGGCAUUAUUAAUAAUUAUGCUGAGAAUAGAGGGAUAAACAAGGCUAUCCCCUGGUGAAGUCCCUUCUGCCCACGGAGUUAUUUUAAUUAUUUUAUCCUAAGUGAGAAGCAAGGACUUGGGUUGCAGAAAAUCCAAGGCCAAGCAUCAAAUAUUAUAUCAAUGACAUAUAAACAUUGAAUAAUAUAUUAUUUAACAUAAAAUAACCCCAACCCAAAUCAGUCAUUAUCUUUUGGAUAAAGCUAAAUUUACCUUUGCUAGGUUUCAUGAUGUGUGUGACAUAUGUAAACAAAACCCAUUAAACUGGCAACAGUCAGAUACAUAUUCACUGAAAUUUAAUUUUGAUGAGGGAGAAGAGUAGUUUGGAUCAUUUUCCAAAUAUGGUAAGGACAAAGUAGCUCAUAUGUUAAGUUACAGUAUGACUAGCUGCCAAUAAGCUUUUGUGAGCUAUUGAAACAACAGAAAAAUUUCAGAAUUUUCAUUACUAUUUGCAUAAAGAAGACGCCUGUCAAGUAAAAGGUGAUAUUGCAUGUUCUCUGGAAGAAAUAAAAUGACAGGUAUGAAAAUACAAAAUAAACACAGUGUUGAAAGGUUGUUAUCACUAUUGGGGAGAUCCCAAAGAAGCACCCUCUUUUCUCUUUGACAUCUAUUUCAUAUGCCUUUCACACCUUUUCCAAGAAAGGUGACACAGAGAUUGUUUCUCCUGUUUGCUUAGUUGGCAAUCAGUAGUCUGCACUACGACAGGGAAACGAAAUGCAAGCAAAGUGCUCUAUCUGCUAAAGGAACACAUUUCUGAGAGUAUUCACCUGCUGAGAAUCUCACAUAUAUUUAAUAAGUUGGAGAUGUAAGUCUCCUAUUUUUAAAAUUAUUAUCUUCAACUUUAUUGCAUGCUUAUUACGUGCUUACUGUGGGUAGAAUACUUGGCUAGGUACUGAGAUUGCAAAAGUUUGUAAAGCAGAGUUCCUUCCGGAAAGAUGUGGUGGCUUUAAAUACGAUGUAUCAUUACAUUCGCCCAGCAAUUAAGAACAGCUUCACCAAAGAAAGACCCAGUCUGUGCUGCCAGAGUUAAAUAGACUCAGAGUUUAUACCUUUUUUUUUCCCUUGCUUUUCCAAGUCCUAGUCCUUGACUCCUUUUCUAGACUCAAGUCCAGGAUUUUGGUUCCUGUCAUUUUACAACUUUGUCCUCACAUCUUUAUCUAGAGUAGUCUCAUGAAUUAUAUACUCAUGAACACAUCAUGAAUUGCUCUUGAUGUGUUCAAUUGCUCCAGAAUCCACUUAGAAUCUACUUGGACAGGAGGCUGGCAUUUCUAGGAAGGCAAUGUUACUGAGAGAUGCAGAAUAUCACAAAAAUAAACUUGUCAGAAAUGUUUGGAAAUACACAUAAAGUCUGGAUAAAUAUGACAUUCAUUCAAAAACAUUUAUUGAUCAUCUACAAUGCACUCAGCAUUCGUGAAAAUGCUUUUGCUAGCAAUCAAAGAGCAAUAACUUUACUACUCUCAUGCUGCUUAUAUUCCAUCGUAUGCAUAGAAAACAGACAAUGGAUGGUAUGUGUCAUUAUAUGUAACAUCCGAUAAGGUGUUAUUUGUGCAGAGUCAAGAAGGAAAUAAAGGGCUGAGGAUAGAUGAGGGAAGAGAAUUCCAGAUAAAGAAAACUCCACCUGCAAAGGCCCCAGGUUGAGUGUCCUUGGAGUUUCCAAAGAAUGCUAAGUGGGGUUAGAACUCAAUGAAUAAUAAGGAGAGUUUAAAGAAAUAGGAUGGGAGAGGUUGGCAGAGGCAGAUGAGGAGAUUCAUUAGACCAUGUUGAGGAUUUUGGACCUUACUGUGUGAGAUGCAAAGCCAUUGAGAGUGCACAGCCAAAGAGUAACAUGGUCUGAUUUCCAUUUUAAAGAUUUACGCCAGUUUCUGUGUGGAGUAUAAGCCACAAGGAAGACACACGUGGAGACCAGGACACCAGUCCUGAAGCUAUCGGAAUAUAUCAUGUGAGAGAGGUGAGGGCUUGGACUAGGUGGAAAUGAUAAAUAUGGGGAGAAGAAUUCGAAUCUUGGAGGUGUUUUAAAGGUAGAGUUCACGAGAUUUGUAGAUGUGCAGAUGUAUGGGCUGUGGGCAUUAAGAGUAAAGAUUAAGAUUGAUUCUAAGUAUUUGGGCUUGAACAAUGGUAAAAAUCAAGUUGUCAUUUAUUAAGAUGGAAAGGACUACAGAAGAAGAAGCAGGGGUGUGUGUGUGUGUGUGUGUGCGUGUCUGUGCAUAGGUGUGAUCCAGAGUCUGGUUUCGGACAUGCUGAGUUUAGAAUUCUAAUUAGACAGCCAAGUCAAGAGUUUGAGUAGAAAGAGCUCACAUAAAAGGUCAGUGCUGGAGUGUGUAUUUUGAAGUCACUAGCUUCAAAACAACAUUUAAAUCUCAGUAUAUAGAUGAUAUCACCUUGAAGUGAGUGACGAUGGCAGAUUUAGGCUCUGAGCUUAGGGAGCAUUCGAAGAUUAAGAAAGUAAUAAAAUGAGGACACAGCAGGAGUGUGAUUGAGAAGUGGGCAGUGAAGUAGGCAUAAGAAACAUGAGAAAAUCACAUCCUGUGGCAGAGUGAAGGACAUUUUUCAAGAAGUAGGGAGAAACCACUUGUAUCAAAGUACUGCUUAGGGAUCUGGUAAGAUAAGGUCCCUGGCAUGGUCACUGGAUGUGGCAACAUGAUGGUCACGGCUGAGUGUGACAAGGGCAUUUCCAGUUGGGUGGCCGAGACAUAGACUUGCUAAGAGGAAUCAGAUUCAGCAAAGUCCUGGAAGAAGCUAAGGAAUGAUUUCAAGAACAACAUGAAAUGAUUGGCUUAUAUUUGUGGAGUGCUUAGGAUAUCUAGAUAUUUCUCCAAGGUCUUUCUAUCCAUUACAUUUCUGUGAGGAAGGUACAAGUAUUAGUCACAAUUUAUAGGCAAGAAGACUGAGCUAACAGAAAAGCUAAGUAACUUGAAGAACACACAGUAAGUAGUGAAGCCAGGAUUUGCAACCCAAGGAGUCUGGUUACAGAAAUCUGGCUCUUAAUCUGUAUGUUAUGUGAGAAGAACCAUUCCAAUCAGUUCCAUAAUUUCCUAACACUAAGACUGCAAAAAUUAAACGUGCCAUUUCAUAGGAAUAACUUUGAUGAGAGUACAUUCUAGUUUAGAUGAAGGCACUAGCAAACAUUUCAGAUCUUAUGGCCUCAUGCCUUCUCCUUUGAAAGUAAAACAUUUCCAGUUUAUAUUAAGUAGGGAAGAAGAUGAGAAAAUACACUGAAAAUAUGUGUCAUGUGAUUACUAUGUACCAGGCACAGCAGCUGCAAAGUCAUUGUUCUCCCAAAAAUUAUAGUCUCAAAAAACAAAGUCAGAGUUCUUGUUGUGGCUCAGCAUGUUAAGAACCCAACUAGUAUCAACUAGUAUCCAUGAGGAUGCAGGUUUGAUCCCUGGCUUCACUCAGUGGGCAUUACUGCAAGGUGCAGUGUAGGUCACAGAUGCAGCUUGGAUCUGGCAUUGCUUCGGCUGUAGCAUAAGCCUUAGCUGCAGCUACGACUCAAUUGUUCGCCUGGGAACUUCCACCGUAUGCCUCAGGUGUGGCCCCAAACAAACAAACAAACAAACAAAAACAACAAAGGCCAAUUAAAAGGUGCAAAACAAUGUGAUAUUUUGGUAAACCUUGUAUUAGAGCAGGCACAAGAGCAAUAGAAACACCAAGCAAUAGAAACACUUGUUUCCCUAGACUCAGAGCCUAGGGAAACAAGUAUUGUUUAAGUUGAGAUAUGAGGAAUUUAUUAGAUAAAUACUCAGUAAAUUGCUCAGUGGGUAAUUUUAUGGAGGUAUAUAUAGAUUGGGGUUGGCAGACUAGGAUUAUGGGUCAGAUCUGGCUCUCUACCUUUUUUUGGUCAAUAAAGUUUUAUUGGAAGAUAACCAUGGGUCAUUUUUGUACAUAUGGCUGUUUUCUCACUAGAGUGGCAGAGCUUAGUGGCUGUAUUAAUUGCAAAGUAGAAAAUAUUUACUAUUUAGCCAUUUAUUGAUGGGUUUUCCAACCCUUUCUAUAUAUGACCUACUGGAUUGCAUGCAUAAAGUUACUUAUCAUUAAAAUAAAUUUUUUAAGGUACAUUUGUAAAGAUUUGUCAUUUAAUUGAAUAAUGUUUAAAAUUAUUUUGAAUUAGCUUCUCUAAUUAAAAUUAUUUGAAAAAAAUGUAAAAAGGUCUGGAAACACUGCCCUAGCUUUUUUUUUUUUUUUCCACCCCGCCAUGCCCUCAGCAUGUAGAAGUUCCCAGGUCAGGGAUCAAACCUACAGCAUAGCAGCCACUUGAGCCACUGCUGUGACAAAGCUGGAUCCUUAAUUUGCUGUACCAUAGGGAACUCCCUGGACUAGAUUUUUAUAAUGCAAUCAGUGACUUAUUUGUGUGGCCCCUUUAAGAUGGGGCACAAGCCCUCCAGAUCAUCAAGGUCUUUUAUACUCCUUGUUUUUCUCACUCUUGGAUCCUUGUCACUUAUUUAUGUUACUUUUCUGGACUCUCUGGGAACUUGAGUGUUGACGCUUGGAAAAUGAAUGUAAGAUGAAGUGUGUCUUUUUAAGCAAAGAUUGGUGCAUACAAUCAAUGGGAGUUCAAAGAUUAAAAUUUAGUCCAUUGGCAAAGGCCUUGACUCAUGUAAAUGAAUUUUUAAACGUUGAACUCUCAUCAGAUUUAUUUUUUGUCUCAGCAUAACAGAGACCAAGAUUGGAGCUUCCUAUUUAAGAACAAAGGAAACUCAGGUGUUUACAAGGAAGGAAAGAGAGAGAUUUUACUGGACUCCAAAUUUGUGGAAAUAGGAGAAGUGAAAGUGAAACAACACGAUAGAAAUUAGUCAAGAACAUGUCUAACCCAGUUUUACUUGAAUAAAACAUGAAUUAAUAUUACAGUUCUCAUGACCAGUAUUUUCUUUGUAAUGUUACCCUUGUCUAUCAUAUAGUCUCCUCUAUAUUUCCUUCUGGUUAUUUCAGAGAGAGAAGAGUAGAGAAGGCACAGGAAAAUAGCAUUCCUUUCUGCAAUGAACCUAGAGAAAUUGUCCAGCUGGUGGAGAAGGAAGCAGAAAGAUGCAGGUCAAAGGAACGGGAUGUUAGAAGUCAGCGUCGGGGGGUCCAUCAUGGCAGGAGGCUCUGUGUGGGGUUGCACAUGAUCAACAGUAAGAGUAAUAUUUUUCUGAUUCCAUGCCGGAGCUGGGCUCCUUAGUAUCUCUUCUGUGGAGGCUGAGAGGUCCCAGAAUGUGGGCUGAGGGUUAAAUGAUCCCAGCUGUGAAGAUUACAGAGCAGCAGGACUUUGUGCUUAUACUUUUCAGAGCCAAAUGUUUGGCAUUUCAAUUGCAUCAACUGAAGUUUAGCAGAAAAUGCAAUUCUUCCAUCAAAUAUAAUACAAGUAAGUGGAUAUCCUUUGAUAUCUCUACAUUGUAAUUUCAAGUAGUAGAUUGAGAAACAAGUUGCCAGUUGCCAGGAUUUCUUUUGAGCCCAAAAAUGUGAAUUAAUUCUUUUUUUUUUUUUUUGAAAAUGUACAACAGAAGAAAGGGUGGGGGAAAAAUGUAAUUGUAAUGUAUACAUGUAAGGAUAACCUGACCCCCUUGCUGUACA